AUCUGAGUUGUAAAGUCGUUUAUAAUAUAGUCAUCAGGGUCUCAAUGAACAAGCACCACAGAGACUCUAUCAAGAAGUGUAUCUGUCUCCAGAGAACUGUGCUUCUGGUCGUCUACUGACAAGGGGAAGAAGCUGAGGAGGUGAUGUUACCAGAGCUACUUUGCUGGCAUUGGUGAGGAUUCCCAGGAAGGCUUCAGGGUGUUGCCAUGCAGUCCAGAGGCUACUGUCCUCACGUUGAGACUCCCACCAGAGAUACAUCUGCCUGAUUUCUCCUCAUCCUGCAUCAUUCAUGAGGCAAGACCCAGCAACCUCUGCUCACAGGACUGCUUUCCUGUCUUGUAAAGACAACACCUCCAUCUUCCGAAGGUACUCCACUGAGGAAAAUGUCUCUACAUCCCCCAUCAUUCGUUAACUGCUCAAAGAGGGGUAGUGGGGCCUCAAGAGUCCAGCCUUGCUCUACGCCAUGAUGCUUCCGGCUCCAUCUUGUUCAGGCACUAUGUGGGCUGGAGGAAAUGCUCAGUGGAUAAAAGAGCUGGCUGGGGAAACGUGAGGACUGGCGUUCGUACCCCUAGAACCCAUGUACCGGACAAAGGACAAUCAGUCACACGUUGGAUUCCUGGAGUGUUGUGAUAUGGAUUGAGCAUACUCCGUUCAGAGACGCUGAAUGAUCAAUGGAAUAUUUUUGGAAGAAGCAAGAGAAACUACUGGGAAGGAAGAAACGAAAGAAGGCAGAAAAGAAGAGAAUGAAGCAAGG
rnacentral:lncRNA from 1 species